AGGUGCCUGCAGGUUUUUAACCGUUCAAGUAACAGCUGUGAGCUUUGCCUCUGUCAGAACGUUGUGGACUGUGUGAAUUCCUGCCAAAAAAACGAGCAGGAAAGAGCAGGUUGAGGAUGAGCUGGAGCUCGUUCAACUGAAAGACACUGUGGAUCUGCUGAGGCGUGAAAAAAGGCAGCCCCCUAUAUUGUCACCCUCUCUGGACUCAUACAUUCAUGUUUGCAUAUGAAUCACCAGGUGUGAACAGCUGUUCCCUUCAGUGGUCACCACAAGUCAUCCUCCUCCGCCKUCCUCUGCAUCCUCUCUCAUCAACUACCUCCAAGUCCUUAUUGUUUUUUUUUUUAAUAAAGUUGUGGCCUUUGUGUGUAUUUUGCUUGUUUACCCUGUGCAUGAAUAGGUUUUCUUCAAUUACUCUGAUUUUCUCCCUAAAAUUAAGCAUGUUAUCCUAACUGAUAACUCUAAACUGUUGUCUAAACUUGUGAUGGACGUGUCCAGGAUGUACCCCGCUCCUCACUCAACAGGUACAGACAAUGGAUGGAUGGAUACAUAUAUAGGAAAUGGACACAGAAUAAGUGUCGAAAGGUACCGUAUCAAAGAGCACCUAAUAUGAAAAAUCUGUUCACCAAACAACUUUUAAAAAAUGACAAAUGAUGCGGAAUGAAGCAGGUUCUUACUUUUCUCUCUGUUUUUAAGUCAUCGGGCCUUGCAAACAAAUUGCGUGACUAAACUAGCUCCACUCAAAAGGUAGAACAUUCAAAUGCAUAAAGUGCCAGAGGGGAAAACAGACAUUGGGUGAGAUGUGUGCUUUCAUACUUCUUUACACCGUUUAAAAUGGAUCCCUGAACUCCCAGCAGGUCUGGAAGGACUGCCAGGAGCCUUCAAGGAACUUUCCAAUGUUUUAUGACUUCACUUCAUUUAAAUUUAUGAUGAUGAUGUACAUGUAAAAAUGCAUAUAAUAUAUAUAAUAAGCAACACAUACUGUAAUGUAUUAAGAAAACUGAUCUUUUUUUUUAAUGUUAUGUUAGGUUUAUUGGAUUUGUGCACAUUGUAAUGAUUAUUGACUUUAAGACAUUUUAGUUUGUUUUGAAUGCUCGAAAUAAACUUUACCUGGUUUUGAAGUGAA